GAGCAGGUCAGGUUCACCCAGCUACCUGGUGACACCGAACCUGAUGGACUGAUCCUCGCUGAGGUGUCUUUGGGAGCAUCUGAAGAAAAUAGUAGCUGGAAGAACAGGUGAUGUUGUAUCCGUCGUGCUUGUCAGACAGAGUGAUGGUCUUCUGGAUUUUAGUCAUAAAGUCCAAAGGUUGUUCUGCUGCCAUCAAAUGUUUUUCCUGGUCCAGCACUAAAGUUACACGGGAUUUGCAAACAAGAUCCACU